UCCUCUGUGACUGCCCCACCUCCCCAGGUGUCACAGGUGUGAGCCCCUGCAAGAGGAACCCAACAGUGACAGGGACAAUGGUUCACCCAGCACACAGGUGCCACUGGGGUUAAGUCAGCCUGUGCCCUGCAAAAAAGCUGCUCCCAUAAAGAAGAAAAGACAGAUCAUUGUCACAGAUGGUUCCUGGAGGGAAUGAAGGCCAAAAUGCCCACCAGACCACCCUUAGGGGAAGUCUGCUGCCUCCUUGGGGUUCAAGUUACAUGUGUGAUGAGAAACCUUCCUGCCCUCGUGGAAUAGAUGCUGGAGGUGCUUGCAGUGCUUCAGUUCUGUGCUGAAGAGGACAUUUUAAUGCAGCAGCUGAUUUGACCUUAAUAAAGACCUUACAAUCACAAGUUUUAA